rnacentral:rRNA from 1 species
AAAGCGUGCGCAGGCGGUAAUGUAAGACAGAUGUGAAAUCCCCGGGCUCAACCUGGGAACUGCAUUUGUGACUGCAUUGCUGGAGUGCGGCAGAGGGGGAUGGAAUUCCGCGUGUAGCAGUGAAAUGCGUAGAUAUGCGGAGGAACACCGAUGGCGAAGGCAAUCCCCUGGGCCUGCACUGACGCUCAUGCACGAAAGCGUGGGGAGCAAACAGGAUUAGAUACCCGUGU